CUAAUUCUCUAUUCCUUCUGUCAUCUUGUACCAUCUCUUGGUCGUUAUUCAAUUGCUGACCUGUACUACAUGACAAAGUCAGUGAAUUUCCGUGGGAGCCUUCGCUAACACGCAUCCCUCCUUGGUUCUGGUGGAGCCUCAUCUUAGUUCACCGGUUCAGUAGUCACCCUUUCAUCUGGUUUAGUCAUAACAUAAACUUUGUUAAUCUGCCACAAAUUACUAAUUUGAAGUUUCAUAGCUGACUAGUAAGGUAUUUGAAGUGUGAUAUAUAACAUCGCCAACUAAGCUAGACGAAGUGGUGCAUGUGGAGCAAGAAAGUGGCGAUGCGAAUUUGCACAAAGCACCAAUGGAGUGUACUGAGUUACCUGUAACAAGAAAAAGAAAAAUCGAAGAGAAAAAAAAUGGAAAACACAAAAUGACCCUAAUUUGAUUGCAACGAAGUGAGUACAAGAGAGAAAAA
rnacentral:lncRNA from 1 species